rnacentral:rRNA from 1 species
AACGAACGCUGGCGGCAUGCCUUACACAUGCAAGUCGAACGAGACCUUCGGGUCUAGUGGCGCACGGGUGCGUAACGCGUGGGAACCUGCCCUUAGGUUCGGAAUAACUCCCCGAAAGGGGUGCUAAUACCGGAUAAUGUCUUCGGACCAAAGAUUUAUCGCCUUUGGAUGGGCCCGCGUUGGAUUAGCUAGUUGGUAGGGUAAAAGCCUACCAAGGCGACGAUCCAUAGCUGGUCUGAGAGGAUGAUCAGCCACACUGGGACUGAGACACGGCCCAGACUCCUACGGGAGGCAGCAGUGGGGAAUAUUGGACAAUGGGCGAAAGCCUGAUCCAGCAAUGCCGCGUGAGUGAUGAAGGCCUUAGGGUUGUAAAGCUCUUUUACCCGGGAUGAUAAUGACAGUACCGGGAGAAUAAGCUCCGGCUAACUCCGUG